rnacentral:rRNA from 1 species
UACGUAGGUGGCAAGCGUUGUUCGGAAUUAUUGGGCGUAAAGGGCGCGUAGGCGGUUUGCUAAGUCUGUUGUGAAAGCCCCGGGCUCAACCUGGGAAUGGCAAUGGAUACUGGCAAGCUAGAGUGCGGUAGAGGGUAGUGGAAUUCCCGGUGUAGCGGUGAAAUGCGUAGAGAUCGGGAGGAACACCGGUGGCGAAGGCGGCUACCUGGACCAGCACUGACACUGAGGCACGAAAGCGUGGGGAGCAAACAGG